GAUGAACGCUGGCGGCGUGCCUAAUACAUGCAAGUCGAGCGAACAGACGAGGAGCUUUCUCCUCUGACGUUAGCGGCGGACGGGUGAGUAACACGUGGAUAACCUAUCUAUAUGACUUGGAUAACUUCGGGAAACCGUAGCUAAUACCGGAUAAUAUAAUGAACCGCAUGGUUUAAUAGUGAAAGACGGUUUUGCUGUCACUUAUAGAUGGAUCCGCGCCGCAUUAGCUAGUUGGUAAGGUAACGGCUUACCAAGGCGACGAUGCGUAGCCGAACUGAGAGGGUGAUAGGCCACACUGGAACUGAAACACGGUCCAGACUCCUAAGGGAGGCAGCAGUAGGGAAUCUUCCGCAAUGGGCGAAAGCCUGACGGAGCAACGCCGCGUGAGUGAUGAAGGUCUUCGGAUAGUAAAACUCUGUUAUUAGGGAAGAACAAAUGUGUAAGUAACUAUGCACGUCUUGACGGUACCUAAUCAGAAAGCCACGGCUAACUACGUG
rnacentral:rRNA from 1 species